rnacentral:precursor_RNA from 7 species
UGGAGGUGCGGGGUGGUGGCAGGAGAUGUCUGAUGAAAUCCCCCUAUGGCCUGUUUGUGAUGGUACCGCAGGAUAGGUGGGUUUCAUUGAAUGUCUGUGCCACAUGGCGACGGUGCCGCC